GUGAGUGGGUUAGAGGUGUUUUUUUAUGGAAGGGACUAUUUGUUUCUCUUAUAGUCUGACCAUGAUGAUUAAACAUUGCUUUCUAAGCUUCCUUAUCACAGUCCUCUGGCUUCAUGGAGGAGGAAGCGUACCAGUACAGGAAUCUCUGAGUCCCUUGAAGGUUGAAUUUCAGUCACUUAAUCUCCAGAGUAUUUUACAC